GUUGAACCUGCUCAGAUGACCCUAGCUACAGGCUUACACAUGCAAGUCGAGGGGCAGCAUGGUCUUAGCUUGCUAAGGCCGAUGGCGACCGGCGCACGGGUGAGUAACACGUAUCCAACCUGCCGUCUACUCUUGGACAGCCUUCUGAAAGGAAGAUUAAUACAAGAUGGCAUCAUGAGUCCGCAUGUUCACAUGAUUAAAGGUAUUCCGGUAGACGAUGGGGAUGCGUUCCAUUAGAUAGUAGGCGGGGUAACGGCCCACCUAGUCUUCGAUGGAUAGGGGUUCUGAGAGGAAGGUCCCCCACAUUGGAACUGAGACACGGUCCAAACUCCUACGGGAGGCAGCAGUGAGGAAUAUUGGUCAAUGGGCGAGAGCCUGAACCAGCCAAGUAGCGUGAAGGAUGACUGCCCUAUGGGUUGUAAACUUCUUUUAUAAAGGAAUAAAGUCGGGUAUGGAUACCCGUUUGCAUGUACUUUAUGAAUAAGGAUCGGCUAACUCCGUGCCAGCAGCCGCGGUAAUACGGAGGAUCCGAGCGUUAUCCGGAUUUAUUGGGUUUAAAGGGAGCGUAGAUGGAUGUUUAAGUCAGUUGUGAAAGUUUGCGGCUCAACCGUAAAAUUGCAGUUGAUACUGGAUAUCUUGAGUGCAGUUGAGGCAGGCGGAAUUCGUGGUGUAGCGGUGAAAUGCUUAGAUAUCACGAAAGAACUCCGAUUGCGAAGGCAGCCUGCUAAGCUNCAACUGACAUUGAGGCUCGAAAGUGNG
rnacentral:rRNA from 1 species